UUGACGAGUCAGUAAAGGGCUUUUCCGCAAAACAUGAGGACCAGGUGUUUGAUGAUUUGUCUCAAUGAAUUGAGCAUAUAUUUCCAAAGUUAUCCCUUACGGAUGAUAAUUUCGGGAAUAUGGGUCGGGUUGUCAACAAACAUCAAGAGUCAGAGAUUGAAUAUUGUGGGAAAUUAGAUUUUAAUAUUGGAACCUGUGAACUUCCUUUGAUGAUUGAGAAUGAAAAAGGCAAUGUACAACAUACCACGAUGAAGAGAACUCCAACACUUAUGUGG
rnacentral:lncRNA from 1 species